UACGUAGGGUGCGAGCGUUAAUCGGAAUUACUGGGCGUAAAGCGUGCGCAGGCGGUUCCGCAAGUCAGAUGUGAAAUCCCCGGGCUCAACCUGGGAACUGCAUUUGAAACUACGGGGCUAGAGUGUGUCAGAGGGGGGUAGAAUUCCACAUGUAGCAGUGAAAUGCGUAGAGAUGUGGAGGAAUACCGAUGGCGAAGGCAGCCCCCUGGGAUGACACUGACGCUCAUGCACGAAAGCGUGGGGAGCAAACAGG
rnacentral:rRNA from 1 species